rnacentral:rRNA from 1 species
GACGAACGCUGGCGGCGUGCUUAACACAUGCAAGUCGAACGGUGACCCAGGGCUUGCCCUGGUGAUCAGUGGCGAACGGGUGAGUAACACGUGGGCAACCUGCCCCCUGACUUCGGGAUAACUCCUCGAAGAGGAGCUAAUACCGGAUACGACCACUUCGGACAUCCGAUGGUGGUGGAAAGUUUUUCGGUCAGGGAUGGGCCCGCGGCCUAUCAGCUAGUUGGUGGGGUAAUGGCCUACCAAGGCGACGACGGGUAGCCGGCCUGAGAGGGCGACCGGCCACACUGGGACUGAGACACGGCCCAGACUCCUACGGGAGGCAGCAGUGGGGAAUAUUGCGCAAUGGGCGAAAGCCUGACGCAGCGACGCCGCGUUGAGGGAUGAAGGCCUCGGGUUGUAAACCUCUUUCAGCAGGACGAAGCGAAAGUAGACGGUACCUGCAGAAGAAGACACCGGCUAACUACGUGCCAGCAGCCGCGGUAAU